rnacentral:rRNA from 1 species
UUAGUCUUUUAAUUAGGGACUGGAAUGAAAGAGUAAACCGGGAAAACUUUUUUAAAGUUAAGUAAAUGAAUUUAACUUUUUGGUAAAAAGGCUAAAAUAUUUCUUUUAGACAAGAAGACCCUAUAAAACUUUAUAUUUUGAAUUCUUAGAAGAGUGAAGAAGUAUUACGCUGGGGCGGUGAAGAAAAGAGCUUUCUUUAAUUUUAAAAACAAUUCUGUUGAAAUAUCUUGAAGUUCUGAAAUAAGAAUAAGUUACUUUAGGGAUAACAGCUUAAUUUAUUUUGAAAGAUCAAAUUGACAAGUAAGUUUAUGACCUCGAUGUUGAAUUAAAA